rnacentral:rRNA from 1 species
AGUGAACGCUGGCGGUAGGCCUAACACAUGCAAGUCGAACGGCAGCACAGUAAGAGCUUGCUCUUACGGGUGGCGAGUGGCGGACGGGUGAGGAAUACAUCGGAAUCUACUUUUUCGUGGGGGAUAACGUAGGGAAACUUACGCUAAUACCGCAUACGACCUACGGGUGAAAGCAGGGGAUCUUCGGACCUUGCGCGAUUGAAUGAGCCGAUGUCGGAUUAGCUAGUUGGCGGGGUAAAGGCCCACCAAGGCGACGAUCCGUAGCUGGCCUGAGAGGAGGGUCGGCCACACUGGAACUGAGACACGGACCAGACUCCUACGGGAGGCAGCAGUAGGCGAUCUUCCGCAAUGGGCGAAAGCCUGACGGAGCAACGCCGCGUGAGUGAUGAAGGUCUUCGUACCGGAAAACUCUUUUAUUAGGGAAGAACAAUUGUGGAAGUAGCUAUGCACGUCUGGACGGUACCUAAUCAGAAAGCCACGGCUAAAUACGUG